rnacentral:rRNA from 1 species
UACGUAGGGGGCAAGCGUUGUCCGGAUUUAUUGGGCGUAAAGAGCGUGUAGGCGGCUAGGUAGGUCCGUUGUGAAAACUCGAGGCUCAACCUCGAGACGCCGGUGGAAACCAUCUAGCUAGAGUCCGGAAGAGGAGAGUGGAAUUCCUGGUGUAGCGGUGAAAUGCGCAGAUAUCAGGAAGAACACCGGUGGCGAAGGCGGGUCUCUGGGCCGAUACUGACGCUGAGGAGCGAAAGCGUGGGGAGCGAACAGG